rnacentral:rRNA from 1 species
GGUCGUAACAAGGUCCGUAGGUGAACCUGCGGAAGGAUCAUUAAUGGGUUAGCCUUCGGGCGCAU